UCUCUGGUAGUGUAUCGGUUAGUACACGCGCCUGUCAUCGUAGUGGUGUGCGCGCGAAAGCUGGGUUCAACUCCCAGCCAGAGAG